CCUACUGGUGCCUCAAGUCACGAGGCUUUAGUCCACUACUUGGUAUAUGUUUUUAUUUCUGAAUGUAUCACCCUCGGCUUGUACUGGAGUCAAUGUUUUCCCAGGUUUUUUUGUGGUAAAAUUAGGUGCCUCGGCUUAUAUUCGGGUCGGCUUAUACUUGAGUAUAUACAGUAUGUGCCAACACCCUCAGUUCCUUUCCUGGCCUGUCUUUCCCAUUGCAAGGUCUCCUCUUGCUCCGUCAGCAGUUCUGAACAUAUUCCAGGGAAGCUUUUAAGCUCAAUGAAUCUGGGCGCCUUUGCAUUUGGGAGCGAAAUCCAAGCCCUGAGUGAUAGGCACCAGUUGGAUAGUUUCUGGGCUUUAAUGUGGGGGGAGAGCAAUGAAAUUCUUGCUAGGAAUCCAGUUUCAACUGAGAGAGAAAGUAAAGCAGCAGGUGAACAUGGCAACAUCUGCACCCAGGGGGAGAAAGAGCUAAAAGAAUCGACAAGUUGGGGAAAAGUGAUCCAACAUCUGGCAGCAUCCCAAGCCAUCUUUUGAUUCCUCGAAUUCGAUGUGUGUGUUUGCAUCGGUGUUUCUGUAUUGCACCGAAAGGAGCCCAAGGCACCUCGGUUGGUUCUGCACAGCAGCUGGGUCGCGUUACUAAAAUGUUUUCCAAAAUGGGAUGGACACUCUGAAGGGCAAUGUUUUCCAUCUGGCCGAGAAAGCCCUCCAUCCAACCCUCGCCCACCUCUUCCUCCCCAGCCCCGGCCAGAGAGAUACGCACAUGCAAGGGAGGAAGAAGUCAAGGGUCAAGCUCAUUAGGAUGCAAAAAAGAAGAGAUAAUGAGACAGGAAGUGGUGAUGUCACAGCCUCCCUCCCCGGCGCCUAUUCCCCAAUGGCAUUCCAGCCCACAAAGCCUGUUAAAGAUGCCUUUUGCAUCCUCCCCUUGCAUCUUGCAAAGAGAUCCCAUUCAUCUGUCAAAGAGAUAGGCAAACACUAUAAAGGUUCAAAACAUAAAAAGAGCAUCAUGCAAAGGCCACAGAAAUAGUCAGGCCUCUCUGAGUACAGAGCUAUCUUCUUUCUAUGUCAAAAAGAUAAGCAAAUACUAUAAAGGUUCAAAACAUAAAAAGAGGUACAGUAGAGUCUCACUUAUCCAACAUAAACGGGCUGGCAGAACGUUGGAUAAGCGAAUAUGUUGGAUAAUAAGGAGAGGUUAAGAAAAAGCCUAUUAAACAUCAAAAUAGGUUAUGAUUUUACAAAUUAAGCACCAAAAAACAUCAAGUUAUACAACAAAUUUGACAGAAAAAGGAGUUCAUUACACAUUAAUGUUAGGUAGUAAUUACUGUAUUUACGAAUUUAGCACCAAAAUGUCACAAUGCAUUGAAAACAUUGACUACAAAAAUGCAUUGGAUAAUCCAGAACGUUGGAUAAGCGAGUGUUGGAUAAGUGAGACUCUACUGUAUGUAUAUUAGAGCAUCAUGCCAAGGCCACAGAGAUAGUUAGGCCUCUCUGAGUACAGAGCUAUCUUCUUUCUAUGUCAAAAAGAUAAGCAAAUACUAUAAAGGUUCAAAACAUAAAAAGAGGUAUGUAUAUUAGAGCAAAACAUAAAAUGCAAUAUGUAAUUUAGAGCAUCAUGUACAUACAGUAUUCACCUGAGAGUUAACAACAAUACUGAAAAUAUACUGGUUCCCGGCUUUACUCCAGUUUCGGUUGUCCUUCUGGUAAGCGGCAAUUGAUAAGCAGCAAAUAGUUUUCAAUUUGUAUAUUGUUGGCUCUGCUUCAGUAAAGCUUUAAGAGAUAAAAGGAAAUGGUCUAGUAUUGUGCUCUUUAUAAGAUAUAAUUUAUAUAGACCAAGUGAAAAUAGACAUAUCAAAGCAUGCUAUAUUAAGAGUUACAACACAAAGGUUUUUCCAAACCCAGGCAUAGUAGUUACUCUCUACUUAGAUGUUUGCAGUGUCAGUAUGCUGAAAUGUGGUUUCUAUGACGCGAGCAGUCAUUCAUGGUUUUCUAAAGGUUUAAAUAUAUGAUUACAGGUAACAGCUGAGGUCUAGUCUGUUGUUUAAAUCAUAAAGGGUGGUUGUUUUCAGUUUGUAGAUCCAAAACGUUUCUCUUCCGAGGACACCAGUUCUAAUGUCUGUGUAAGCAGUAAUAUGUAACUUCUCUAGAGCAAAAAAUUUAAAGCUCUUAUAUGGGUGAGAUUUAUCAUGAAAAUGUGUGUAUAAAGUGGAAUCAAGAUUUUUGCUUCUAAUUUUUGAACAAUGUUCUUGAAUUCUGAUUCUCAGUGGUCUAGUGGUCAUCCCAAUGUACAGCAAGUCACAAGGACACUGAAUUACAUAGAUUACAUUUUCCGUUGAGCAUGUAAUAAAGUCUUUCAAAUUGA